rnacentral:tRNA from 1 species
CGCGCUGGCGCGACGGGUCGCGACGCUGUCCGGCGGCGCCUGCACCCUGGUUCCGGGUCCGGGUGGCGCGG